rnacentral:rRNA from 1 species
AAGGCAGCUGGCGAGGCCGGUACUGACGCUCAGGCACGAAAGCGUGGGGAUCAAACAGGAUUAGAUACCCUGGUAGUCCACGCAGUAAACGAUGAUAACUUGUUGUCGGCGAUAGACAGCCGGUGACAAAGCGAAAGCGAUAAGUUAUCCACCUGGGGAGUACGAUCGCAAGGUUGAAACUCAAAGGAAUUGACGGGGGCCCGCACAAGCGGAGGAGCAUGUGGUUUAAUUCGAUGAUACGCGAGGAACCUUACCUGGACUCAAAUGUUGAACGACCGGUCUAGAAAUAGACCUUCCCUUCGGGGCGUUUAGCAAGGUGCUGCAUGGUUGUCGUCAGCUCGUGCCGUGAGGUGUCAGGUUAAGUCCUAUAACGAGCGCAACCCCUACGUCCAGUUGCCAGCGGGUAAAGCCGGGGACUCUGGAGGGACUGCCGGCGCAAGCCGAGAGGAAGGUGGGGAUGACGUCAAAUCAGCACGGCCCUUACGUCCAGGGCGACACACUGGACGGGCGGUGUGUACAGAGGGCAGCCACCUGGUGACAGGGAGCGAAUCUAGAAAGCCGGUCUCAGUUCGGAUCGGAGUCUGCAACUAGACUCCGGAAG